UUAAUUGAAGAGUUUGAUCAUGGCUCAGAUUGAACGCUGGCGGCAGGCCUAACACAUGCAAGUCGAGCGGCAGCACAGAGGAACUUGUUCCUUGGGUGGCGAGCGGCGGACGGGUGAGUAAUGCCUGGGAAAUUGCCCGGUAGAGGGGGGAUAACCAUUGGAAACGAUGGCUAAUACCGCAUAACCUCGCAAGAGCAAAGCAGGGGACCUUCGGGCCUUGCGCUACCGGAUAUGCCCAGGUGGGAUUAGCUAGUUGGUGAGGUAAGGGCUCACCAAGGCGACGAUCCCUAGCUGG
rnacentral:rRNA from 1 species